CCUACGGGAGGCAGCAGUGAGGAAUAUUGGUCAAUGGGCGCGAGCCUGAACCAGCCAAGUAGCGUGAAGGAUGACUGCCCUACGGGUUGUAAACUUCUUUUAUAAAGGAAUAAAGUGAGGCACGUGUGCCUUUUUGUGUGUACUUUAUGAAUAAGGAUCGGCUAACUCCGUGCCAGCAGCCGCGGUAAUACGGAGGAUCCGAGCGUUAUCAGGAUUUAUUGGGUUUAACGGGAGCGUAGAUGGGUUGGUAAGGCGGUUGUGAAAGUUUGCGGCUCAACCGUAAAAUUGCAAUUGAUACUGGCAGCCUUGAGUACAGUUGAGGUAGGCGGAAUUCGUGGUGUAGCGGUGAAAUGCUUAGAUAUCACGAAGAACUCCGAUUGCGAAGGCAGCUUACUAAACUGCCACUGACAUUGAUGCUCGAAAGUGUGGGUAUCAAACAGGAUUAGAUACCCGGGUAGUC
rnacentral:rRNA from 1 species